rnacentral:rRNA from 1 species
CUACGGGCGGCUCCAGUGGGGAAUAUUGGACAAUGGGGGAAACCCUGAUCCAGCAAUGCCGCGUGUGUGAAGAAGGCCUGCGGGUUGUAAAGCACUUUCGGUUGGGAGGACUGCUUCUAGCACUAAUAUUGUUGGAAGUUGACGUUACCUUCAGAAGAAGCACCGGCUAGCUCCGUGCCAGCAGCCGCGGUAAUACGGAGGGUGCAAGCGUUAAUCGGAAUUACUGGGCGUAAAGCGCGCGUAGGCGGCUAGAUCAGUCGGGUGUGAAAGCCCCGGGCUUAACCUGGGAACUGCAUCCGAUACUGGCUAGCUUGAGUACAGGAGAGGAGAGUGGAAUUCCACAUGUAGCGGUGAAAUGCGUAGAUAUGUGGAGGAACACCAAUGGCGAAGGCAGCUCUCUGGCCUGAUACUGACGCUGAGGUGCGAAAGCGUGGGGAGCAAACGGGAUUAGAUACCCGAGUAGUC